GACGAACGCUGGCGGCGUGCUUAACACAUGCAAGUCGAACGGUGAAAGCGGAGCUUGCUCCGCUGGAUCAGUGGCGAGCGGGUGAGUAACACGUGGGCAACCUGCCCCUCACUUCGGGAUAACUCCGGGAAACCGGGGCUAAUACCGGAUAUGACCUCCUUGGGCAUCCUUGGGGGUGGAAAGUUUUUCGGUGAGGGAUGGGCCCGCGGCCUAUCAGCUUGUUGGUGAGGUAGUGGCGCACCAAGGCGACGACGGGUAGCCGGCCUGAGAGGGCCGCCGGCCACACUGGGACUGGGACACGGCCGAGACUCCUACGGGAGGCAGCAGUGGGGAAUAUUGCGCAAUGGGCGAAAGCCUGACGCAGCCACGCCGCGUGCGGGAUUACGGCCUUCGGGUUGUAAACCGCUUUUAUGUGCGAAGAAUAUGACGGUAACACAUGAAUAAGGGUCGGCUAACUACGUGCCAGCAGCCGCCGUAACAC
rnacentral:rRNA from 1 species